CCCCAUCUCGAGAGAUCCCAUGAACUAAGCAGGGCUUAGCCUGGUUAGUACUUGGAUGGGAGAGACUGCCGGGGAACACCAGAUGAUGUAGGCU
rnacentral:rRNA from 1 species